rnacentral:rRNA from 1 species
UGGGGAAUAUUGCACAAUGGGGGAAACCCUGAUGCAGCAACGCCGCGUGAGUGAUGACGGCCUUCGGGUUGUAAAGCUCUGUCUUCAGGGACGAUAAUGACGGUACCUGAGGAGGAAGCCACGGCUAACUACGUGCCAGCAGCCGCGGUAAUGCGUAGGUGGCGAGCGUUGUCCGGAUUUACUGGGCGUAAAGGGAGCGUAGGCGGACUUUUAAGUGAGAUGUGAAAUACCCGGGCUCAACUUGGGUGCUGCAUUUCAAACUGGAAGUCUAGAGUGUAGGAGAGGAGAAUGGAAUUCAUAGUGUAGCGGUGAAAUGCGUAGAUAUUAGGAAAAACACCAGUGGCGAAGGCGAUUCUCUGGACUGUGACUGACGCUGAGGCUCGAAAGCGUGGGGAGCAAACA